GGCCUGGUGGUGUAGUGGUUACACAUCCCCACUGUCUAAAAUAGCCAUAUGAAGGCUUCUGAGGAAGUUCCCUGUUCGAACCAGGGCCAGGCCG